CCUACGGGAGGCAGCAGUGAGGACUAUUGGUCACUGGACGAGAGUCUGAACCAGCCAAGUAGCGUGAAGGAUGACUGCCCUAUGUGUUGUAAACUUCUUUUAUAUGGGAAUAAAAUGUUCCACGUGUGGGAUUUUGUAUGUACCAUAUGAAUAAGGAUCGGCUAACUCCGUGCCAGCAGCCGCGGUAAUACGGAGGAUCCGAGCGUUAUCCGGAUUUAUUGGGUGUAAAGGGAGCGUAGGUGGAUUGUUAAGUCAGUUGUGAAAGUUUGAGGCGCAACCGUAAAAUUGCAGUUGAAACUGGAAGUCUUGAGUACAGUAGAGGUGGGCGGAAUUCGUGGUGUAGCGGUGAAAUGCUUAGAUAGCACGAAGAACUCCGAUUGCGAAGGCAGCUCACUGGACUGCAACUGACACUGAGGCUCGAAAGUGUGGGUAUCAAACAGGAGUAGAUACCCUAGUAGUC
rnacentral:rRNA from 1 species